rnacentral:rRNA from 1 species
UACGGAGGGUGCGAGCGUUGUCCGGAAUCACUGGGCGUAAAGGGCGCGUAGGCGGCGCGGUAAGCGGGCGGUGAAAGCCCGGGGCUCAACCCCGGGUCGGCCGUGCGGACUGCCGCGCUGGAGCACUGUAGAGGCGGGUGGAAUUCCGGGUGUAGCGGUGGAAUGCGUAGAGAUCCGGAAGAACACCGGUGGCGAAGGCGGCCCGCUGGGCAGUGGCUGACGCUGAGGCGCGACAGCGUGGGGAGCGAACCGG